CCUACGGGAGGCAGCAGUAGGGAAUCUUCCACAAUGGGCGAAAGCCUGAUGGAGCAACGCCGCGUGGGUGAAGAAGGUCUUCGGAUCGUAAAACCCUGUUGUUAGAGAAGAAAGUGCGUGAGAGUAACUGUUCACGUUUCGACGGUAUCUAACCAGAAAGCCACGGCUAACUACGUGCCAGCAGCCGCGUUAAUACGUAGGUGGCAAGCGUUAUCCGGAUUUAUUGGGCUGAAAGGGAACGCAGGCGGUCUUUUAAGUCUGAUGUGAAAGCCGUCGGCUUAACCGGAGUAGUGCAUUGGAAACUGGGAGACGUGAGUGCAGAAGAGGAGAGUGGAACUCCAUGUGUAGCGGUGAAAUGCGUAGAUAUAUGGAAGAACACCAGUGGCGAAAGCGGCUCUCUGGUCUGUAACUGACGCUGAGGUUCGAAAGCGUGGGUAGCAAACAGGAUUAGAUACCCCUGUAGUC
rnacentral:rRNA from 1 species